rnacentral:lncRNA from 10 species
GGAAGGGGGAAGGGAGGCGAGGGCGUCCGCGCCAGCGAAGGGCGUCGAGCGCGCGUGCGCGCGGAGGAGCUCGGCGGCCUGGGCAGUUCUCCGCGCGCUUUGGCCUCGCGCCGGGGCCGCCGCCCCUCCCCCACCCGGCUCGCUGGCUCCCUCACCCUCUCACCCGCCGCCUCCGCCCGCCGCCUCCGAGGGGGAGAGGUCUUGCCGCCGCCGCUGCUCGAGCUCCCGAGUCCCUCGGGCCUGGGGCCGCCGCCUCGCCUCGCCGGUCCGCCCGCCUCAGCCGACGCCGACGCCUCCUCGCUUCCUCAGGGGCCGCAACGGGCUCCAACUGCGCCACUCGCACCCCGCCUGGGCCGCGCUGCACGUCAGCACGACUAACUGCGUGCGUCAGCACGCAAACGCGCGUCGCGGGGCCUGCCGGGAACUGGAGUGCGCCCCGCGGCCUUUUGCGCAGGCGCCGAAGCCACACCGCGAAGUACCGUUUUUUCAGGCACAAGGAAGGUUUCACCCCGUUGCCGAAAGACUAAGCGUCCCGUUGGCCAGUGCAACGAAGAACGGAGGAAGCGACAAGAUUUCAGUUUGUAAGUAGUGAGAGCAAUGAUCUUGGCUUUGCAUGGUGCUCAGGAAGCCUUCCCCGCUCCCAAACCAGAAAGGAAUCCAUCCAGAUUUUCCUCCACUGUCUGGAUGGCCGCUCUGUGGAUGCUUCCAUCUGUAUCCAUUGCCGGCACCUGGUGAGGUAUGAGGAAUGGGGCCCGGCUUUCCAAACACUCUCCAGAUGCCCCACCCUCUGGAUGGCUUCUGGCUGCCCAUGGGGACACCGUGGACCU